GUUGGCUUUGCUUCGUCUUCCUUCAUUGCCCAAGUGCUGGAACAAGGAAAGAUCUCCUUUGAACCUCAGUGGGUUGUGAUCCUUUGGAGACAAGCUCCUCAGCUCUCUCCAGCAGGACCCAGUCUCACUUGUGCCAUACAGGUUUGUGGCUUUCACUGUCGCAGCGCCUGCAGAUUUUAAAGCCUUUGGCCAACGAGCGUUGAUUUCAGCGUGCUUUAAUGGGGUCUUGGAUGUCUUAGUAUCACAUGUGUGUCAGAUGAUACUUCUACACACAAAAAAUGAGUCAUUUUUGAAAAUGUGCAAGGUGGUAUUAGCCACGGUUGGCUUCCUUCCAUAAGGUGGAUUGUUAGCCCAUAUGAGAUGCUUCAGGAGAACCUGGAGGCUUUUGCUCUUCUCAAAGAAAUGGGUUAUUCUGGUAUUGAGAGUGCUGUGUGGAGGGAGUGAGGAGGGAAGGAAGGAUGGGAGAGGGCUGCCAUCACUGUGUCUUUAUGCUCUGCAUAUGUUAAUGCUGGGAUCUGUAAGGAAAGUGUUCUUGAAACUGGAGAACGGAGAAGGUGGGAAGAGAAACCUGUGUUUGAGAUCGCAUAGAAUUGUGCAUAUGGCCAGACAGCUUGGAGGCAUUGCAGGAUUUCAUCCGUGGUAAUACUUGGCCUGGGACUGCCAUCUUGUUUUCCUUCCUCUCUUCGUGUGUUUGUUUGUUUUGGCCUCAUUUUGUAUCUUUUUAGCCAUCUUCCUUUCCCUGACUUAUUUCUCUCGCUCCCAACCCCCUCCUCUUGCUGGCCUGACCCCUGUGGGCUGUAACCCAAGAGGAGCUCCGGAUACAGUAAAUAGUCCUUUCACUUGUGCAGCAGAAUUGCUCCAGACGUUUCUAUUGAUUUUCACUGGACUUAAAGCUUCACCUUUUUCUCUAAUCAUCCCAUAAUGGCUUUAGUAUGAUCAAUCAGGUACGAAUUGCCAUAAAUCUAAGCAGCUGCAUACCUUCCAUUCACACAUGCUAUCUACUCAUUGCCUUCUUUCUCUCUUUUUUAUAUUUUCUUCUGUCCUCAUACUUUUCCCCACUUUUCUUCAAAUGCAGUGAGAUUGUUUUAUAUCAAAAGACAUGUGUAAGCAGAUCAUAUUUUUUGGUUUUUGAUUGUUUCUCAGUUAUUUUUCCUUAAGCACUUUAAAACUUGACAUUGAAUGGUACAGUAUCCCACCCAUGUCACGGUGCAGAUACAUUAUAUUUCAAAACUCCUGGGAUUUUCCUAGGAGUGAGCAGCUCCAGCAUAUUCAGAGAGGAAGGAUGUCACCAGGACCAUUUCAGGUUUGCCUAGAAAUGUGAUUGUUGGACUUUUCUGAAGUUGAUAGGGAAGUGGUGAGUUGAAGAACGGAACACAUUUCUGCUGAGCUUGCCCUCAAGACCAAGGUAUCAGUGGUGGGAACCAGUGUAAUGCAGGAGUCUAACUCUGAAGUGAUCAGGUCUCUUCCCUCAUGCUUCUGCUCAGAUAUGCAAGGGACCUGAGACAGUAAAAUGGCCUUGGAAGCUGAGGUCAUAAGUAUUGCACCAAGGCUUUAAAAAGCCAGCUGAGGAAUCAAGUCUUGUGUGUGGAGUUCAAUUUGGGAUACAAUAGAGGUAUUUGAAGACUCUGAGUUUUAACACUUAACAUCGUUCUCUUAAAUUACUAGAAGUUCUUGAUCUAGACUCUUCAUCGAUAGUGGUUUCUACUGGAGAAGAACCAGUCAGGGUACUAGAGCUCUAGAGACGCUGCAACUGGAGAAAAGAUUGGAGGACAUCCAUAAACACUUGUACCUCACGCACUAAGAUUCCUGUAACGUUCUGCUCAGGUGAAGAGGAACUGUUAUUUUUGAGGUUCGUAAGAGGCCUGGCAGUUCUGAGUCCUGCUUUGCUUCUGAUGUGAAAGCAGUGAAACACUAAAGAAUAACACACAUCAGAGUAGUGAAAUCCAUUGCAUGGUCCAUACAUGAGUGCAGCAGAAAUGCUAAGUCACAUCCUGAAGCAGUGAUGGAGCACCUGGUGCGAAGGCAGGGCCAGCCCAGGGGAGCUCAGCUGCCAGCAGUGCACCUGAGUGACUAGAAGGGGUGGAGUCAGGAUGCAGCCCUUCCCAGCUGCAUUUAAGGGUUGGCAGUGGAGGUGAGAGCAUCCUGCUGGAGAUCCCUACCUACCUGAGGCUGUCUAGGGGUGAGCAGGUUCUUUCUUUUGUUUCUGCGCCCACUGCUGUGGUGUUUGAGUGUAUCCUUAUUUGCUGUAGCCUGGGACUUUGCUGCUACAUUGUCACUGCUGUGCUUUCCAUCAUGUCACUGUGUUACAAUGAGCUUUCUCCUUUGUCUGUAUUAAGUCUUGAAAUGCACAGUAUGGGAUUUUCUUUGUUUUGAUAAACUUCAGAUUACUUUACCAUAAAAUGUAGCUCAUGUUGCUCUGCCUGGUAGCUCACCUGCCUGCAGUGGCAGAGGACAGCAGAAGGCAGGAUUCACAGCAUCCUGUACCAGCAUCGUGGGAAUCAGUGCUUGACCCUUGUGGAUAAAGUCAGCUGUUUUCUGAGUCCUCCAUGCAGGUCUUGCCAUCUUCAGAGUGGUUGUAAUGCUGUGUCUCCUUUGAUAGCUGAAAAGGUGCAGUGGGAGUGGGGGUAGUUCACAGAAUGGUUUCUCUUCUCUCAGGCCUUGGUGUGGUCUGCAGUAAAUUGAGAUUGAUUGGAUGUUAUUUUUCCUCUUGCUAAUGUAAUCCAUUAGCCUGGCACAUGCAUAAUCAGUUUAGAGCACAGUUAACUGGAUGUAAUCGAGUUCUUCCCUGCCUGCUGGAGAAAAUCCUCUCCAGAUGCUGCUGGGUGAGAGUGCGUACUAGGCUUAUCACACACAAUCCUCCUUAUUCUGCUGCUUUUUUUUUUUUUUUGGUGCCAUUUUCAUCUUGAAUUAUCUGUUUUUGGCUUCUUGUGUUGCCCAAGAGCUUCUUCUGUUGGUGCUACUUGUUGCCAGAAAUGUCAUCUGGAGACGCUGUUACCCGUAAUCUGGUGAACCUUUCAGAUUCUCCUGCAUUGCUUCCAGUGUUGGAGGAGAAGGUUUGGUAUUCUGCUGCCAUCUUUGUCCUGCACAUCGUAAUAGCUCUCAUCAGCACUCUUCCCAUGUCAGUGGCACAGCCGUGGGGUCCAACGAGGAACCAGCAGGGUCUUGUGAUCGUUUAUCCUUUUGUUCCCCAGUGUCCCUGUUGUCCCACUAAAAUCCUGGAACUAAUCUGGAAAUUCUGUUAUUUAUCUGUCGCUUUGUGGGAGUGUGCUGUACUUGUGCCUCUGACCAUGUUUUUCCUCAUCUCCUUUGUGUGAGUGGUGGUGGUCAUUUUCUCAGUGAAACUUCCUGGAAAGCAGGAGUAAACGUGUGAUGACAUUGCUAAGGUGGCAGGAGGUGGCUGUGGAGGUUUGGGAUUGAUGGCAGCUCGGAGGACCCGUCUUGUCCUGGCUAGGACAGCCUGAUGAGCAUGGUGCACCAGUGGGGUUGAGUUGUGUCGCUGGUUUGAGCAGAUGGGCGGAGAUUGUGUGGACUCCUCACAAGUGCAGGCUUAGUGCAGCAGAAGCUAAGUCUUGUGUCCUCGUGAGCGCUAGAGUCUGAACCAGGCUUGCAGCAAAGCUGUAUGCCCCGCAUCUGGAAGAGGUCAGGCAUGAGUUCCCAACAUCUAUUGCACAGGUGGAAUUUCCAGAAGGGAUCAGUCUGCGAGAGCAAGAGCCAAGUUUGAAUGUUUCCUACAGCUUCCUGAAAACCUCUAGUUCAAAACCUGAACUCCGUCAGAAGAGGUGUAAACAAAGAACAACUGAAGAAACAUUGCUGGCCGGACUGCCAAGUGGGUGCACGUGUUCAGUUCAUUCGGUGUCUUCCUCUUCUGCCUUUUCAAGCACUAAGUUAACUUUUCCAGAGAAUGGGAUCUGAAGGAGGUGGAAUGGGGUUUGGGCUACAGGAUGGCCCUUCAGAGAGGUACUUUGUUAACAAGGAGAUGCAGAGCAAAUGGGAAGAAGACUCCUUAAUGUCAGUAAUCAAGAAACUAGCAACAAUGAAACUUGCUGGAUCUAUGCUGUCGUGGAAAGAUGACCAGAACAGAAGGGCAGCUGCAGACCCAGCUGGGGGUGGUGGCCGUCCCCUUCCACCACCGAGCAGCACUCACCUCCUGCCUGCCCUGCAGGAAUGUGAUUGUGUCCUUUGGAAGCAGAGGCUGAACAGGAGCGCCCGAGCUGUUGGUGUCUGCCAGAUUGAUCAGACCUGAUUGAGAACCUCUUAAAGGAACGAACAGCUGUAAUGGGAAAGUUGGACUCUGUCAUCCGUUAGGAUGAUUCUGGGAGCGAGAAGAACGAGGCUGACAUCUUGGAGCAAUUGUAUUUACAAUUAACAUGGCUGAAAACGAUUGCCUCUAUUGAUCCCCCCUUCCUGCAAUUACAGCCCCAUUGUUUACAUUCCAGCACUUCGGUUAUAAAAAGGAAAUUCAAUAAUUAUUGCAUUAUUUAAAGUUAAAGUGCCACAGAGUUUGCUGGCUACGCUUGCUGGUUGAUUUAACGUUCAGUAAAAUCCAUGCUGAGCUCUCCAUCUUUAGGCUGAGCAAUAUUUGGCUUUUAAUGAGACUUCAAGGGCUGGUGGAGCAAACACAAAGUGCUGCUGGGGGAACCCCAUGGUGUUCUGGAGUGGCUGGUGCCGGCCUUAUGCCCUGGUCCCUGCCCGGACCCAGGGCAUGGCUCCUGUCCUGUGCUGAGAUAGCACUGGGCUGCCUCUGGGAGAUGCUGACAGUUGUUCUGCCUUGUACAGUAUCUCUGACCUCACCCUAAGUGUGCCAGGUCUCUGCUAAGCUGCCCUGUGCGUUGCUGCUGGGAUCCUCUGUGAGGAGAGGGGCUUGUUGUUUCCGUAUGUGAAAAUACG